CAUUUGAGAAUAAGGGCAUUUGAGAUUAGGGUUUAGGGUUUAGGGGUAUAUGAGAAUAAAGGGUAUGUGAGAUUAAAGGGAUUAGGGGCAUUUGAGAUUAGGAGCAUUUGAGAUUGUGGUUUAGGGUUUAGGGGUAUUUGAGAAUAAAGGGUAUGUGAGAUUAAAGGGAUAUAUGAGAUUAUGGGCAUUUGAGAAUAAGCGUAUUUGAGAUUAGGAGCAUUUGAGAAUAAGGGCAUUUGAAAUUAGAGGCAUUUGAGAAUAAGGGUAUUUAAGAAUAAGGGUAUUUAAAAUUUUGGGGCAUUUGAGAUUAGGGGCAUUUGAGAUUAGGGUUUAGGGGUAUAUGAGAAUAAAGGGUAUAUGAGAAUAAAGGGUAUUUGAGAUUAAAGGGGUAUAUGAGAUUAGGGAUAUUUGAGAAUAAGGGCAUUUGAGAUUAGGGGCAUUUGAG
rnacentral:lncRNA from 1 species